GACGAACGCUGGCGGCGUGCUUAACACAUGCAAGUCGAGCGGUAAGGCCCUUUCGGGGGUACACGAGCGGCGAACGGGUGAGUAACACGUGGGUGACCUGCCCUCAGCUCUGGGAUAAGCCUGGGAAACCGGGUCUAAUACUGGAUAUGACUCCAUGACGCAUGUUGUGGGGUGGAAAGCCUUGUGCGGCUGAGGAUGGGCCCNCGGCCUAUCAGCUUGUUGGUGGGGUGAUGGCCUACCAAGGCGACGACGGGUAGCCGGCCUGAGAGGGCGACCGGCCACACUGGGACUGAGACACGGCCCAGACUCCUACGGGAGGCAGCAAGGUGGGGAAUCUUGCGCAAUGGGCGAAAGCCUGACGCAGCGACGCCGCGUGAGGGAUGACGGCC
rnacentral:rRNA from 1 species